rnacentral:rRNA from 1 species
AUCGAUGAAGAACGCAGCGAAAUGCGAUAAGUAAUGCGAAUUGCAGAAUUCAGUGAGUCAUCGAAUUUUUGAACGCACAUUGCGCCCCUUGGUAUUCCGAGGGGCAUACCUGUUCGAGCGUCAUUAACAACCCCUCAAGCCUAGCUUGGUAUUGGAGUCGCUAUUUUCGCGGCCCCUAAAUUCAGUGGCGGUGCCUGUAGGUUCCACGCGAAGUAAUUCUUCUCGCGAUGGAUCCCCUAUAAGUCUCUAGCCAACAACCCCAAUUUUUUUUUCAGGUUGACCUCGGAUCAGGUAGGGAUACCCGCUGAACUUAAGCAUAUCAAUAAGCGGAGGAAAAGAAACCAACAGGGAUUACCUCAGUAACGGCGAGUGAAGCGGUAAUAGCUCAAAUUUGAAAUCUGGCUCUUUCAGGGUCCGAGUUGUAAUUUGUAGAAGAUGCUUAGGGUGUUGCUCCGGUCUAAGUUCCUUGGAACAGGACGUCAUAGAGGGUGAGAAUCCCGUAUAUGGCUGGGUACCUUCGCCUGUGUUAAGCUCUUUCGACGAGUCGAGUUGUUUGGGAAUGCAGCUCAAAAUGGGUGGUAAAUUUCAUCUAAAGCUAAAUAUUGGCCAGAGACCGAUAGCGCACAAGUAGAGUGAUCGAAAGAUGAAAAGCACUUUGGAAAGAGAGUUAAACAGUACGUGAAAUUGUUGAAAGGGAAGCGCUUGCAACCAGACUUGGGCGCUGCUGAUCAUCCUAGGUUCUCCUAGGUGCACUCAGUAGUGUUCAGGCCAGUAUCGGUUUCGGUGGUUGGAUAAAGGCUUAGGGAAUGUAGCUCCUCUCGGGGAGUGUUAUAGCCCUAGGUGCAAUGCGACCUACCGGGACCGAGGACCGCGCUUCGGCUAGGAUACUGGCGUAAUGGUUGUAAGCGACCCGUCUUGAAACACGG